rnacentral:rRNA from 1 species
AUUGAACGCUGGCGGCAGGCCUAACACAUGCAAGUCGAACGGUAACAGGAAGCAGCUUGCUGCUUCGCUGACGAGUGGCGGACGGGUGAGUAAUGUCUGGGAAGCUGCCUGAUGGAGGGGGAUAACUACUGGAAACGGUAGCUAAUACCGCAUAAUGUCGCAAGACCAAAGAGGGGGACCUUCGGGCCUCUUGCCAUCGGAUGUGCCCAGAUGGGAUUAGCUUGUUGGUGGGGUAACGGCUCACCAAGGCGACGAUCCCUAGCUGGUCUGAGAGGAUGACCAGCCACACUGGAACUGAGACACGGUCCAGACUCCUACGGGAGGCAGCAGUGGGGAAUAUUGCACAAUGGGCGCAAGCCUGAUGCAGCCAUGCCGCGUGUAUGAAGAAGGCCUUCGGGUUGUAAAGUACUUUCAGCGGGGAGGAAGGGAGUAAAGUUAAUACCUUUGCUCAUUGACGUUACCCGCAGAAGAAGCACCGGCUAACUCCGUGCCAGCAGCCGCGGUAAUACGGAGGGUGCAAGCGUUAAUCGGAAUUACUGGGCGUAAAGCGCACGCAGGCGGUUUGUUAAGUCAGAUGUGAAAUCCCCGGGCUCAACCUGGGAACUGCAUCUGAUACUGGCAAGCUUGAGUCUCGUAGAGGGGGGUAGAAUUCCAGGUGUAGCGGUGAAAUGCGUAGAGAUCUGGAGGAAUACCGGUGGCGAAGGCGGCCCCCUGGACGAAGACUGACGCUCAGGUGCGAAAGCGUGGGGAGCAAACAGGAUUAGAUACCCUGGUAGUCCACGCCGUAAACGAUGUCGACUUGGAGGUUGUGCCCUUGAGGCGUGGCUUCCGGAGCUAACGCGUUAAGUCGACCGCCUGGGGAGUACGGCCGCAAGGUUAAAACUCAAAUGAAUUGACGGGGGCCCGCACAAGCGGUGGAGCAUGUGGUUUAAUUCGAUGCAACGCGAAGAACCUUACCUGGUCUUGACAUCCACGGAAGUUUUCAGAGAUGAGAAUGUGCCUUCGGGAACCGUGAGACAGGUGCUGCAUGGCUGUCGUCAGCUCGUGUUGUGAAAUGUUGGGUUAAGUCCCGCAACGAGCGCAACCCUUAUCCUUUGUUGCCAGCGGUCCGGCCGGGAACUCAAAGGAGACUGCCAGUGAUAAACUGGAGGAGGGUGGGGAUGACGUCAAGUCAUCAUGGCCCUUACGACCAGGGCUACACACGUGCUACAAUGGCGCACACAAAGAGAAGCGACCUCGCGAGAGCAAGCGGACCUCAUAAAGUGCGUCGUAGUCCGGAUUGGAGUCUGCAACUCGACUCCAUGAAGUCGGAAUCGCUAGUAAUCGUGGAUCAGAAUGCCACGGUGAAUACGUUCCCGGGCCU